AAAUCCCACCAUAACUAAAGUUCCCAUGAAAAUUUUAGCAUAAGAUCUCUGCUAGCCAUUUCUAAAAACCAAUUUUAAGUUGGUAAUGACUGUCAACUUCUGUCAUUUUGGGAGCAUGAAACCAACUUGACAUAAAGCAAAUCAAUGGAAAUAUUCAGAAAGCAGCGGUGCAUGAUUGAAAGUAACAAAAUAAGCCAUGAACCAUAAAUAUCAACUUCAACUUAUACACAGCUAGUUUCUCCAUAUGGCAGAAAAUGCAAACAUUAUUUUAUAUUAAGAAGGAUAACUCAUGCAGAGAUGAAAAAGAAGUCCAAAUCAUUGAGAAAUAUAUGCUGAAGAACAAAAGUUACUAGCAAAGCAAACAUCUGGUCAAAAGAUCAGCAGACAAG
rnacentral:misc_RNA from 1 species